AGUGGCGAACGGGUGAGUAACACGUGGGCAAUCUGCCCUGCACUUCGGGACAAGCCCUGGAAACGGGGUCUAAUACCGGAUACGACCAUCGGGUGCAUGCCUGGUGGUGGAAAGCUCCGGCGGUGCGGGAUGAGCCCGCGGCCUAUCAGCUUGUUGGUGGGGUGAUGGCCUACCAAGGCGACGACGGGUAGCCGGCCUGAGAGGGCGACCGGCCACACUGGGACUGAGACACGGCCCAGACUCCUACGGGAGGCAGCAGUGGGGAAUAUUGCACAAUGGGCGAAAGCCUGAUGCAGCGACGCCGCGUGAGGGAUGACGGCCUUCGGGUUGUAAACCUCUUUCAGCAGGGAAGAAGCCUUUAAAAGUGACGGUACCUGCAGAAGAAGCACCGGCUAACUACGUGCCAGCAGCCGCGGUAAUACGUAGGGUGCGAGCGUUGUCCGGAAUUAUUGGGCGUAAAGAGCUCGUAGGCGGCUUGUCGCGUCGGAUGUGAAAGCCCGGGGCUUAACCCUGGGUCUGCAUUCGAUACGGGCAGGCUAGAGUUCGGUAGGGGAGAUCGGAAUUCCUGGUGUAGCGGUGAAAUGCGCAGAUAUCAGGAGGAACACCGGUGGCGAAGGCGGAUCUCUGGGCCGAUACUGACGCUGAGGAGCGAAAGCAUGGGGAGCGAACAGGAUUAGAUACCCUGGUAGUCCAUGCCGU
rnacentral:rRNA from 1 species